rnacentral:rRNA from 1 species
CAGCAGCCGCGGGAAUACGGAGGGGGCUAGCGUUGUUCGGAAUUACUGGGCGUAAAGCGUGCGUAGGCGGUGAGUUAAGUCUGCUGUGAAAUCCCCGGGCUCAACCUGGGAAUGGCAGUGGAUACUGGCUCGCUAGAGUGUGUCAGAGGAUGGUGGAAUUCCCGGUGUAGCGGUGAAAUGCGUAGAGAUCGGGAGGAACAUCAGUGGCGAAGGCGGCCAUCUGGGACAACACUGACGCUGAGGCACGAAAGCGUGGGGAGCAAACAGGAUUAGAUACCCCGGUAGUCCCUGUCUCUUAUAC